GAUUAUUCUUGUUUUUAUUUUGCACCGCGCGCGGGUAAAAAGAUUUUUGUUCCGCUGCUCGGGUUUUCGUCGUUUGAUUUGAAUUUGGAUCAACAGCAGCUCGUGUUAGGGAAUGCUGCAGAAGUAGCCAAAUUCUCCCUCCAGCGGAACGGUUACCGGUUCGGUAAUCAGUGGAAAAAUCGAGGAAUCCUAACGCUGCACAUACCGGUACACGAUAACGGGAAAGGAGGAGAAAAGUGUAAAGCGUAAAACCGAACCCGGAAGCAGCAGUAGUGGUUCCGCCGGGUGGUGUGGUUUACCUGUUUGGUGAUUUCAUUGGUGGAAAUGUAUAGUAAAAGCUUCAAGAACGCGAUGAUGGAAAAACUCGCGGAGUGAUGCGAACAAAAAUAAAAGAGAAGAUAAAAAAAAUCAAAUCUUAC